rnacentral:rRNA from 1 species
CCUACGGGGGGCAGCAGUGGGGAAUAUUGCACAAUGGGGGAAACCCUGAUGCAGCGACGCCGCGUGAGUGAAGAAGUAUUUCGGUAUGUAAAGCUCUAUCAGCAGGGAAGAAAAUGACGGUAUCUGUUUAAGAAGCCCCGGCUCACUACGUGCCAGCAGCCGCGGUAAUACGUAGGGGGCAAGCGUUAUCCGGAUUUACUGGGUGUAAAGGGAGCGUAGACGGCAGCACAAGUCUGGAGUGAAAUGCCGGGGCUUAACCCCGGAACUGCUUUGGAAACUGUGCAGCUAGAGUGCAGGAGAGGUAAGUGGAAUUCCUAGUGUAGCGGUGAAAUGCGUAGAUAUUAGGAGGAACACCAGUGGCGAAGGCGGCUUACUGGACUGUAACUGACGUUGAGGCUCGAAAGCGUGGGGAGCAAACAGGAUUAGAUACCCCGGUAGUC